rnacentral:rRNA from 1 species
GCGUGCAUAAGGCAUGCAAGUCGAAUGCUACCUUCGGGAAAGCAUGGCAAACGGGCUAGUAACACGUGGGAAUCUACCCCAAAGUUAGGGAUAACCCGGAGAAAUCCGGGAUAAUACCUAAUGCGCUCUUCGGAGUAAAGAUUUAUCGCUUUGGGAGGAGCCCGCGCACUAUCAGCUUGUUGGUGGGGUAAUGGCCCACCAAGGCUAUGACGGUUAGGGGGUGUGAGAGCAUGGCCCCCAGCAUUGGCACUGAGACACUGGCCAAACACCUACGGGUGGCUGCAGUCGAGAAUCUUUCACAAUGGGCGAAAGCCUGAUGAAGCGACGCUGCGUGCAGGAUGAAGGCCUUCGGGUUGUAAACUGCUUUUAUAGGGGAUGAAUCUUUGAUGACAGUACCCUAAGAAUAAGAGGUUGCUAACUCUGUGCCAGCAGCAGCGGUAAUACAGAGACCUCGAGCGUUAUCCGGAUUUACUGGGCGUAAAGCGUCUGUAGGGGGUUUGUCAAGUUCCAAGUAAAAUCUUAAGGCUCAACUUUAAGUUCGCUUGGAAAACUGACAAACUGGAGCAUAGCAGAGGCGCAUGGAACUUGUGGUGUAGGAGUGAAAUCCGUUGAUAUCACCAAGGAACACCAAAGGCGAAGGCCUUGCGCUGGGCUAUCGCUGACCCUGAGAGACGAAAGCGUGGGGAGCAAAACGGAUUAGAUACCCGUGUAGUCCACGCCGUAAACUAUGAAUGCUAAACAUUCGGGGAUUCGACCCCUUGAGUGUUACCAGCCAACGCGUAAAGGCAUUCGCCUGGGAAGUACGUGCCGCAAGGCUAAAACUCAAAGGAAUAGACGGGGAUUCCGGACAAGCGGUGGAGCGUCUGGUUUAAUUCGAUAAUAAGCGUGGAACCUCACCAGGGUUUGACAUCCCACGGACAGCCUUAGAAAUAAAGGUUUCCUUCGGGCGUGGUGACAGGUGCUGCAUGGUCGUCGUCAGUUCGUGCCGUGAGGUGUUCCGUUAAGUC